UUUCCUUGUUUCUUCCCAAAGGUGGUGUAAAUCAGGAAGAAUCUGUUGCCACAGAAGGAGUGAGGAACUCCAAAGAGAAAGAGGCAAAGAAAGCAAAAGAUGCUCCAGAGUCUACAGAGCUAACAGGAUCCCGUCAAACAUUCAGGCCAGGGACAUGGCAGCCACCAACGUGAAGUCGAGUUGAUAAUGCCGUAAUGCAUAAUUAAGGGUCCGACCACGCUAACCCUUGUGUCGAAGCAUAAUGCACGGAUUUGCUCUGCCGGUGCCAGAGUAUAGCUGAGUUGUUAGAAUGUUGGCGAAGCUCCGUAUGGUUCCUUGUAGCGAGCUUCUUUUGUGGCACAAUGCAGUGCAUUUGAUUUUUGCUUUCCCUCUUGAGAUCCAAAGAAAAUAAAAAACAAGCACAGUACAUCCUUCAUUUUUAGUUUUUUGACAAGUGAAUACAGAGUUAUACACCAAAUUUUGGUUACAUUUAUGUACAUCGAAGUCGCUAUGACUUGCGGAAGAAUUUUGUUGUGUGAUCAAGGUCUUGAGAAAUAAAUUUAAGGUUGUAUGCCA